CCCUGCCAUUUGUACACACCGCCCGUCGCUACUACCGAUUGGGAAAAUUUUAGAGCCUCUUGGACCGAUGAUUGUUCGGCUUCGCGGCCUUACUUUCGUUGGAAAAAGAUGCGAUAAUAUUUUUCUAGAGGAAGUAAAAGUCGUAACAAGGUUUC
rnacentral:rRNA from 1 species